rnacentral:rRNA from 1 species
GACAGAGGGUGCAAACGUUGUUCGGAAUUACUGGGCGUAAAGCGUGCGCAGGCGGCUUUGCAAGACAGAUGUGAAAUCCCCGGGCUCAACCUGGGAAUUGCGAUGGAGACUGCAAGGCUAGAAUCUGGCAGAGGGGGGUAGAAUUCCACGUGUAGCAGUGAAAUGCGUAGAGAUGUGGAGGAACACCGAUGGCGAAGGCAGCCCCCUGGGUCAAGAUUGACGCUCAUGCACGAAAGCGUGGGGAGCAAACAGG